rnacentral:misc_RNA from 1 species
UUGAAUUAAACCCUGGUCGGGUUGUUGCUGGCCUCUAGAGGCAACGUGCACGCCUGCCCAUUGUUUUCAACCACCUGUGCACCUUUUGUAGGCUUGGAUCACUCUCGAGGUUCCUUUUUUCUUUUGAUUUUAAAAGUAAAAAGAGACCUCGGUCUGGGGACUGCUGUGUGCUCUUGGAGUCAGCUUUCCUUACAUUUCCGGUCUAUGCAUUCUUAUAUACCCCGUAACCAAUGUAUUAGAAUGUUUGUUAARUGGCCUUCAGUGCCUUUAAUCAAAUA